UUGAGUUUGAAAUAAGACAUUCCAUGAGUCAGUGAGCUUUGUUCGAUUCAUGUCUAAGCCGUGGCACUUUUAUGUCUGAGCCGCCGCCCAUCGCUGCUCUGAAGGUGGUCCUGCCAGACUCCUAUACCUCUCUACCCCAGGCACAGGAGGUCGCUAUCAGACCUCCAAAUUUUGGAUUAAUCUCUUAUCUCUCUUGCCAGGCUCUGAUUUCCAUCCUUGAACCAUGUUUCUGAAUAUCUAUGGCCACCCAAGGCUGUUGGAAGCCUUUUCUAUAUCAUGGGAAAUGUCAUGAUCCAGGUUCACUGUCUCUACCUGGUCUGUCUCUUCCUUUUCUUCUUGUCUCAAGUCAGCUGAGAACCAGAACAGGACUACGUCUGUCAGACAUUGUAUGUUUCUCUGCAGCAAGGCAGGGCCCUGGAACUUCCCGACCCCAUGAACAGCCCCAGGUUCUCUGCAGCUUUGAAGAUUAUUUUGAUUUGAUGGUGUGUAGAUUCCAAUCCUCAGUUUAAUCUCAAUGGCUGAUUCCUCAAAACCAUUAACCUUCGGCAAUUCAGAUGCAAAAAGCCUGAACAUUGCAGCAAUGCUCUAGGAAGCAGCCAGGUCCUUCCCCAGGAUCUCUGGGAAGAGGGAUACAUUUUCUGUGUGUGUAGAUCUGUCUUAGGAUAUUGUGAUGAUGGCCUGUCAUAUCAGGGAGAUUUAUUUGCUCAAGAAGGCAAUCCCAGUGAUUUUUUCCAGGGCUCUACUGAAUCCCUCCUGAAUGACUUCUCUCACAAUUACCUGUUAUUACUCUGCUUAUAUUUCUGUCCUGUGCUACAUGAGUGAGCAUUUGUGGAGAGGAAUCUGCUUAAUGGAACUCUUUCCCCACCUUAUUUGCAGAAAACAAAAUUGAUCACAAGGGCCUUACCAGCAAGCUGUGUGUGGGAAUCCAUUCAGUCCUCACAGGGACACUCCCCACAGGUGUGCAUGUCCUAUGAGAGCGGAGAGUGCUGAGACUCAGAAAGGUCACUCCACUUUCCCAAGACCCCCGGCCAGUGCGCAGUGGGACAUCAGACCCUCACCAGCUCAGGCUCUGUCCUCUGCUCUCCACUCGGUCCUGUCAGGGACUAAAUGGGGAUGGUGCUCACCCUUUCCUCUUUGCUUUUGUACCAAAUUAUUUGAAACAGUUAUAAAUGCAAAGAGAACAGUUGCUAGACGCCCCAACGACCCCUGUGACCCUGCAGGAGUGCCAGCUCCUACCCUGUCAGUGCACUUUGUGGUGUGAGCAGAGCCAGGGCUCAUCCAGCCCCUCCAGGAGCUCAAGGUCUCCAGGAGACGCUCCAUGAAAAGCAAUCAGGGCUGAGAGGUCCCAGACGAUUUCUGUUCUCACUAGGGUUCCCAUGGUGGCUCUUCACUUGGCUGCCUGGCACCCUGGUCACCCUGCAGAGCUCUGUGUCAGAGACACUGACAGCCAGGUCUGGGUUUCCAUGGGGGCAGGGAUGGGACAGGUUAAGACGCGUCUCAGGAGGGUGAUGUGUGUGACAUGGCCUUGCAUUAAGCCUGGGCCAUGAGAGGCUAUGAGGAUGGGCGGAGAUGAAUGAAGGCAGCGUCUCCAUUAGGCACAGCCCGUCCCCCGGUGCAGGUUCUGGUGGGAACGUGGGAACAGUGUGUGUGGGCUGUGAUUGCCGCAGGGGGCGCCCCAGGAGCGCUGCCCUGCCCCAGCCUCCCUGCACUGGGACUAGCCAGGGAGAAACAGGCAUCUGAAGCCUUGAGGCCAAAUUCUGCCCCUCUUCUUUUUUCUUUUGGGGCACAUAUCAGCAGUACUUUCUCGUUCUGCCCUGAGGCCUCUCUAGAACCUUCUCUCCAGGCUGUAGGACGAAGGGUACUACUACAGAAUAAUAGGCAUGAGCCCGCCUCCCAUGCAAAGCCGUCUGGACUCCAGGGGGUGACCUUCCCUUCAGGGACUUUGCGUCCUGGACACUUGCCAUCUCAGCAUGCCCAGGCAUAGACACAACGGUGACAUCGCCUUCGUAUCCAUGAUGUCUGCCUUUGUACCUGCUCACUGGCUGGUCUCACAGACGGUGGGGGACGAGGCGGGAGGACAUCACAAAUGGAAGUUCUGGCAGUGCUGAGUUAAGAAAACUGGGGUUUGUCCAUUGAAGUGUCUUCUUGCUUCAGCCCCGAUGCAGGUGCCCGGUCCCCAAGGGCCAUCGAGUGGAAACUUGACUUUCCCAAGGACGGAGGUGCAAGCUUUACAAGCACCGCCACAGUCAAAUACCCAGGUGGCCAAUUCUGUGCCAGGGCAGCCGGACCAGCAGUUGGCUUGUGGUGACCGCAGAGCCAGGCUCCGCCCCUCCCCCGCCAUCAGGAGACUGGCAGCCACGAUGGUUUCUGGGAGCCAACGGCCGCUCUUCCAAGAGCAGGGUUUGGAAGCUUCCAUGGGUGUGAAGAACCCUCCCAAGCUGGAGGGUGACGCUGCUGAGGGCUCGGUGGCCAACCAGUGUGCAGGUCAAGUCUUUGGCCACGUUAAUGCCCUGGGUGUGAUGAAACAGAAGAUGAUCAAGAGAAAAGUGCAGUUCGGCGAGGGCAGAUUCGCGUGCAGAUUCCGUGGCCUUCAAGCAUAGGGCACAGAGGUAAUGGCAUCCGUGGCUCUUGGGAGUAUGGAUUCCUGUUGCUCUGUUAGAUUAUAGCUCCGCCCACACCCCAAACUGUUCUUCUCUUCCUCGUUUGGUCCCUCUGCCAGCUGCCGCUGCCUCUGUCUGUUCCUGCCUCUCACUGGUCCUGCCUCUGUCUGGUCCUGCCUCUGUUUGCCAUGGGGACUGCCACCCUGGGGGCCCUCCCAUCUCCAUCAGCUGUGGCAUGUGAGCUGUGCUGUGUCCCCACGGGGGCUGUCCUGGGAUUCCCUCUCCCGUGUCCUCACGGCCGCGGGGAAUUAGGCCCCACGGCCCCCCUCAGCAGACCAGCAUCAUUUACACGUGUCGCCAAACACAUGGCACUUUGGCACAAGGCACACACUUUCGUGGCUUCUUUGACUGCCUUCCUUGCUUCCCCAGCUCCAUGACCUCUUUCUCCCAGAGAAUUGUCUUUUUUCUCCUUAAUUUUUGUUUUAAAGUCAUUUAUUUUCAGAGAGACAGAGACUGCACGAGUCGGGGAGGGGCAGUGAGAGAAGGAGAGGGAGGGAAUCCCAAGCAGGCUCCAGGCUCUGAACUGUCAGCACAGAGCCAGAUGCAGGGCUUGAACCCUCAAUCUGUGGGCUUGUGACCUGCGCCAAAACCAAGAGUCAGACGCUUAACCGACUGAACCACCUAGACGCCCCAUCAGGAACAUCGUCUUAAUGUCUCUUGCACAUGGCUUCUCCUCUGGGGUGUUUCCGGGAACACGACCUAGAACGACACUUACCCCUCAGCUUCUCCAUGUGAAUAAGAAGUGUUAAAACUGAGGAGAAAGAGCACCCCGACAAAAACUCCACGACAACAUGGGUCACCUCUGGGACUGCCACACAGCCUGCCUGGGGUCAGGUUUGUCCUCGGUCCCAGGUGAGCAGGCCUGUGCUAAUGUGUGUGGGGUUUCCGGGACUCAGUGUCCACCCACACCUUGGGACCUCAAGAGAGCUGGCAUCAGGUGGAGGACAGUCAUGGCACUCUACAGGGACACUGGCCAAACACAGAUGCAGAGGCCAGGUUUCCAACCUGCACAGACAUGAGGUGUUCAGGCAUCCACCUGUCUUCCCUUUUCACUGCCGUUACCGUGUCUACAUACUCAGCUGGUUCAUAAAAGGAUCCACCGAAAGGAACUGAGUUGAGUCUCAGGCCAGAGCACAUUCACGAGCAUUGACUGAAUUAACUUUGGGCAGCUCUGUGAAGUCCCCGCGAGAUCCAGGGGAACACGAGACAAUCUGUGCCUCAUACAAGUCCGGCUGAGAACGGGGAUUCAUGGGAGGGUGUCCGAAGGAAGACCAAAAUCUUUAGGGCCAGUAUCGUCAUGGUGGCAGAGAUGAGGACAAGAACACCGUGGUCUGAAACAGAGUAGCUUAGCUAAUAGUUCUAAAUCAUGCUGUCGUGAAAGAAACACUGAGCUUUGAACUCACGUGAAUGCCGUCACCCAAUACCUUGAGAUUUUGAUUUCAACAUUCUGGGCUGGGGUGUGGGUAACGGGAGAUGUUUUAAAGCUCUGCUGGUAUGCACCUAGGAAUCAGAAGGACUGUGGAGCUAUAGGAUGCUCAUAAGCCAGAUAGAAGGAUCCCGUGUGUGUGUCACUCGUUUUGUGGACAAGCUGAGUAUCAGCCCCUGAUGGAGUUGACAUUCCUCCCUCAAUAGAGCCCAGAGAAAGAAGGGGACAAAGACACAUGAAUGAAUUCGAUGAAUACUCCCUCUUCCGGAUCCAAGUGUCUCACAAUUUUUAUACUAUAGGAUGCAGUAAGAAAGAAAUGUUGCCUAGAAACCCAGUGUUAAGAACAACAAUCCCUUCCCUGAUUACCCGUAACGGAAUUCAGGGCUCUUUUUCCUCCUCGUGCAAUGAAAAUCACGGUUGACUCUUCACUAAAUGCGUUUCCCAGCCUCCUGACAGGUGCACUGCACAUGGAAAGGAAAUGUUUUAAUCAAACUUUCUCCUUAUAUAAAACCUCAGUAAAGAAGCUUAGGUCUCCCUCUGCCCUUUGCAGGCCCUCGUUUACAUUAGUGUCAACACCGAGAGACUCUCCUCAGGGACAGUUUGGGAAACGUGCGAGGAGAACCUAGACGACUAAAAGGAAGGCUCUUCCGUUUUCUCUGCAGAGUUCCGAGUGUCUCCACUGAGAAUAUUCCUAGACGUUCCCUCAGGUGUAUCCUGGCGUGAGGUGCCCUGCAGGGGCUGUUGGGGUCCCUGAGCAGAAAGGGAUACCAAGGACUUCAGGAACUAAGAAAAAAUACUCCUCAUUUAAACGAAACCCCAUCAUAAAACCCCAUCAUUCUCCACUUGCUGAAAAGAACUCUAAAGCAGCAAAUCAAGCUAAAGCCCAAACAGAACAUGCGAGGGAUCCUUUGCUGAGAAUCGACAUCUCGAUCACAAGCCACUCUCUGGGAUUUUUACUCCAAAAGUCUGGUUUGAUGAGAGGAAUUCUCGCUCUUCUGACUCCAGUCGUGAUAAGUCGCCGAGGCAACCAAUGCCCAGACCACACGCCCUUGUGAGACACCUUCAGUCUGGCUCCUCUCCAUUCCAUCCUGUGGAUAAGCGGAGGCUGGAGCAACGUGGCAAUAGACCCCAUGUCAAACUGGACAUUCUGGGCCACCCGCUGGGCUGUGCCAGGAGCAGACAGCAUUAACUACGCAGCGUUCUUGCUGAAGAGGCUUAGCCUGAAUCUGAGCACGAGGUAGGGAUCAGACAACUGCAGAAUUUCGACCAUCGAACAAGACAUCGGGCCUGUCUUUCUUCAAACAGCCAGUGUCCACAGCACAAAUAAGACGACAAAAAGGAGAAGAGAUAUCUUGGGUUCCAAGGGACUCAGAAGAUUGUGCUAUCGUAAUUUUGUAGUCCUUUCGAACCCCAAACAUCUCCUCCCCUUUCUGUGGCUGUCUCUGGUGGUGGUGACACUUCCUUGUCUGUAGGGGACAGGCCAGAUGUCUGGCUUGAUGGUCUACAUCCUGAAGGUGUCUGAUCACUUCCUCCUGAUUAAAUUCAGGCUAACCUUUUCCCGGGUCGUUCCCUCGUGAAUGCUGUGUGUGUCCCAGCCCCGCCCACCCAGAGACCCAGAGCCUCCAGUCUGCCAUCACCAUCAUUGUGAGAGCAGCCCUGGUUGCCUUCUAUGGGGGGCCUAUCAGAUCGUUCAUGGUCUUCUGUUUGGGUGUGACAUCUGAGAAUGUGCGAAGAUGCUGUCUCUAAAGUCUGUCUCUACAAUGUUACCAUCUUUUAGUGAUCCCUGCAGUGUGUCACAACCGUAUCUGUAUGUUGGAAAAACUCUAGUUGUAUCAUCCUUGUGUAUGUGUAUUUGCUCGCAUUGUGCUGUGGAAAAGAACACUCCCUCCCCGUUCUAUAUCAUUAAAGUGUUUAUUUUGACAAUCA